UACGGGAGGCAGCAGUGGGGAAUAUUGCACAAUGGGCGCAAGCCUGAUGCAGCCAUGCCGCGUGUAUGAAGAAGGCCUUCGGGUUGUAAAGUACUUUCAGUCGUGAGGAAGGUGUUAAGGUUAAUAACCUUAGCAAUUGACGUUAGCGACAGAAGAAGCACCGGCUAACUCCGUGCCAGCAGCCGCGGUAAUACGGAGGGUGCGAGCGUUAAUCGGAAUUACUGGGCGUAAAGGGCACGCAGGCGGUUAAUUAAGUUGGAUGUGAAAUCCCCGGGCUUAACCUGGGAAUGGCAUUCAAGACUGGUUAGCUAGAGUCUUGUAGAGGGGGUAGAAUUCCAUGUGUAGCGGUGAAAUGCGUAGAGAUGUGGAGGAAUACCGGUGGCGAAGGCGGCCCCCUGGACAAAGACUGACGCUCAUGUGCGAAAGCGUGGGGAGCAAAACAGGGAUUAGAUACC
rnacentral:rRNA from 1 species